UUAAAAAGCUCGUAGUUGGAUUUCGGCGGGCAUUGGUUGGUUUGAAUUGUUUCAACACUGACUAUUUUGCCCGUGUGUUUUGCCAGAAUUUAACGGGUGCUCUUCGCCGAGUGUCUGUUAGAGCUGGCAGGUUUACUUUGAAAAAAUUAGAGUGCUCAAAGCAAGCUUAAUCGCUUGAAUAUUCGUGCAUGGAAUAAUAGAAUAGGAAGUCGUUUCCUAUUUUGUUGGUUUUCCGGAAAUCGACUUAAUGAUUAAUAGGGACAGUCGGGGGCAUUUGUAUU
rnacentral:rRNA from 1 species